GAUCCUGGCUCAGAUUGAACGCUGGCGGCAGGCUUAACACAUGCAAGUCGAACGGUAACAUAAAGAAGCUUGCUUCUUUGAUGACGAGUGGCGGACGGGUGAGUAAUGCUUGGGAAUCUAGCUUAUGGAGGGGGAUAACUACGGGGAAACUGUAGCUAAUACCGCGUAGAAUCGAGAGAUGAAAGUGUGGGACCUUCGGGCCACAUAGCCAUAGGAUGAGCCCGAAGUGGGAUUAGGUAGUUGGG
rnacentral:rRNA from 1 species